CUUCGGUGCUGAUUUUUCUCAGCCUCUGAAGUGAACAGAGCUACAAUCUCCUGUGCAAUCUCGAGGGCAGGUGUGUUUCAGAUUUCAGAAGAUUUGCAGGUUCCUCGGAAGGCGAUGUGGUUCAGCACUUCAAACCAGGAUGGGAAGUGUCACAGGACAUGCUACCUCACGCUUUGGCUGGAAUGGAUGGAGUAACAUUGGCUUCUGCAGUCCCCAACAUAAGCCAAGCAUCACAGCAUCCAGGGGAGACUUCGUUUCCUUCAGUCAAGCUGCCCCGAUGGCAGAAGAAAGACAGCCAACACAAACGUACCAAUUCCAGAAGGAAGCACUCACAGUAACCGCCUCCCUCAAACCACAGAGUGUUAUUAAACUCGGGUCACAAGGAAAGAGAGCGAUGGCAGACACGUUCAGUGUCUUAAGCCCACUCAGCAGUGGAAGCAGCGUCAGCCCAUGCUGCAAAGACUUUUAACUCCUUGUUGCUAGGAAGAUGGCUUCAGGGUAAGGUGCAAACUCAUGGCUGCCUAGAGCAACUUGACUCCAAUACAAGGAAGAACCAUCCUGAGGAGGAAAAAAAUGAGAUGCUGGCAAGCAGAGAAGCAAAGACAAGCAGAGAUAAAUCAGGUUUCAACACAGGACCACACACGUCUCAGCACACUGCUGCCUUCGCCCAGCCCUGCCCACUCACUUCUUUCUCCUUAUUUCCCAACCAUGCCACAGAGAGUGAACUCCAGGCUUAAGGAACAGCUUAGGGGCAGGGCACACUACCAUCAAUGUAAGACUGGAUUCAGGUUCCACCCUUAGCUCUGGGGAAAACUUGGACAAACUCCAUGGCUGAGUAAAUUAAGCCAGUAAGGUCCAAGUGCAUGCUGUUGCCAUUGGCUUGAAGGGCAUCCAGCUUGUCCUGUGAAUUUGCUUUUCCAGAACUGUACAACCAAUGAGAGGCUCCUAAAAUUUAACCAGUUGGUUUGAGCUGUCUUUUGUUAAACUGCUUUUGUGUAUAUGAAACCAUUGACCGCUUUUUUUUUAAACAACCUGUUUAUUUUAUGUAUAUUAAGUGUUUGCUUGUAUUGUGUGUACCUUGUGCAUGUAAUGCUCCAGGAGGCCAGAAGAGGGCGUCGUAUUCCCUGGAACUGGAGUUGCAGAUGGUUGUGAGUCACCUUAUACGCGCCUGGAACUGAACCCAGGUCCACUGCAAGAGCAGUCAGAGCAUGUAACCACUGAGCCACCUCUCCAGCCCCACAUUGCUCAUUUCCCAUUGCUCUGUUCUAAAAAUGCUUCCGCUUAUUACAAAGAAAUGAAAAGAGACAGGAGCAUCCCUUCACAGCAGUACCUGCUACCUGGGAUAAUGUUGAUUUUUGUCUUACCACUGGUCCAGGGUGUGUCUGUGAGUGCUAAGAUAAUGUCUUCGUGAAUUUGUUCACGCAGGCUUUCAAACGGUCCUUGACGCAAGUGAUGUCUCCUUUCCAUACACACGACUAUUAAACUCCAUAGAACCUCGUUUCUUAAAGUGUGACCCGCAGGUCGGCAUCACCAGCAUCUUGGGACUGACGCCGGGACCCCAACCCCAGAACUGCUGGUUUCUAAGUCAAGUUUCAGAAGUGUUGCCGCAGGGAAUACAG
rnacentral:lncRNA from 1 species